rnacentral:tRNA from 1 species
UUCAUUAAGCUCAGUUGGUGGAGCACUGCAGCGCUAACGCAGAGGCCAUGGGUUCGAAUCUCGUUGUUAAUAUAUUGAAA